rnacentral:rRNA from 1 species
GUGGGGAAUCUUCCGCAAUGGACGAAAGUCUGACGGAGCGACGCCGCGUGAGUGAAGAAGGCCUUCGGGUCGUAAAGCUCUGUCAUCAGGGACGAACGGCCGGUGGAGUGGAAAGCCACCGGAUUGACGGUACCUGAGAAGGAAGCCACGGCUAACUACGUGCCAGCAGCCGCGGUAAUACGUAGGUGGCAAGCGUUGUCCGGAAUUAUUGGGCGUAAAGCGCGCGCAGGUGGGAUCUUAAGUCCAUUUUUAAAGUUCGGAGCUCAACUCCGUGAUGGGAUGGAAACUGGGAUUCUUGAGUACCGGAGAGGAAAGCGGAAUUCCCCGUGUAGCGGUGAAAUGCGUAGAUAUGGGGAGGAACACCAGUGGCGAAGGCGGCUUCCUGGCACAAUACUGACGCUCAUGUGCGAAAGCUAGGGCAGCGAACGGGAUUAGAAACCCGUGUAGUCC